rnacentral:ribozyme from 1 species
GGGCUCAAGGCGUCGUGCGCAUUUGACCCUCC